rnacentral:tRNA from 1 species
GCGCGAUUAACUCAGCGGGAGAGUGCCACCUUCACACGGUGGAAGUCACUGGUUCAAACCCAGUAUCGCGCACCA